GAUGAACGCUGGCGGCGUGCUUAACACAUGCAAGUCGAACGGAAACGCCCUGCUAUUGUGGGGUUCUCGAGUGGCGAACGGGUGCGUAACACGUGAGUAACCUGCCCUUCUCUUUGGGACAACUUCAGGAAAUUGGGGCUAAUACCGUAUAGCAGCUCCCCCUCCAGGGAGGGGGUUGGAAAGUUGCGGCGGUUGGGGAUGGACUCGCGGAUUAUGGGCUUGUUGGUGGGGUAGGGGCUUACCAAGGCUUUGACGGGUAGCCGGCCUGAGAGGGUGACCGGGCACAUUGGGACUGAGAUACGGCCCAGAGUCCUACGGGAGGCAGCAGUGGGGAAUAUUGCACAAUCGGCCGAAGCCUGAUGCAGCAGCGCCGCGUUCGGGAUGACGGCCUUCGGGUAGUAAACCGCAUUCGGCUGUGACGAAGCGUGUGUGACGGUAAUGGGUAAAGAAGCACCGGCUAACUACGUG
rnacentral:rRNA from 1 species